rnacentral:rRNA from 1 species
GACGAACGCUGGCGGCGUGCUUAACACAUGCAAGUCGAACGGAAAGGCCCUGCUUUUGUGGGGUGCUCGAGUGGCGAACGGGUGAGUAACACGUGAGUAACCUGCCCUUGACUUUGGGAUAACUUCAGGAAACUGGGGCUAAUACCGGAUAGGAGCUCCUGCUGCAUGGUGGGGGUUGGAAAGUUUCGGCGGUUGGGGAUGGACGCGCGGCUUAUCAGCUUGUUGGUGGGGUAGUGGCUUACCAAGGCCUUGACGGGUAGCCGGCCUGAGAGGGUGACCGGCCACAUUGGGACUGAGAUACGGCCCAGACUCCUACGGGAGGCAGCAGUGGGGAAUAUUGCACAAUGGGCGGAAGCCUGAUGCAGCAACGCCGCGUGCGGGAUGACGGCCUUCGGGUUGUAAACCGCUUUCGCCUGUGACGAAGCGUGAGUGACGGUAAUGGGUAAAGAAGCACCGGCUAACUACGUG